CUGCUUCUCCUUCUUCUCGUAAUACUCCAUGAUCUUCAACCGCUGUGUCUGCACCAGCCGGCCCUUCUCGAUGUUGAACUCCUCUUCUGCCUGCAUCGGGACACACACGCGCACAAUGACAUUUGGCAAAGGCAUUGAUCACGUGACCAGGAGAACCUGCCACGGCCAUCUGCAGUGCAGUUUAAUCGUGUAUGUUGUUGCCUAUUCGGAAAAUAUCUAACGUAAUGCAAUAUCGGCGCUAAAACCGAAUGGCAAAAAUGACGAUACAUGGACCUUGUAAAGUAAAUUAAUAAUAGAUCUAUAAUAUUAUCCCAGUGUCAAUGUCACUCCUUGUUAAGCGUUGCAUAAUGAGACACAGUAGAAAACGAAGGUUACCCAGCAGCCAUUUCAAAAUAAAUAGUAAAUAAAGAUAAUGUAUAAAUAGCGAAGGAUGCAUUAAUGAAUCGUGAAGGUUAAAAUGAAACGUACCUGCUUCUGUACGUCGGCAUCGCUGAGCGCCAUGGUUGCAGCCGUCAAGAUCCGCUAGGCCUACGAGAAAUGCACUUGUUUAGAAUAAUUUCGGAAUAAAUGAACGUAAAAAAAAAAGGCAAUCAAAUAGUGUAUUACGAUAGGAAAGAAACAAGAAACAUAUAUAACCUGGAAUUGGAGGUAA